rnacentral:sRNA from 1 species
CACAGCUGUGCCGCUCUGUUCCAGAUGUGGACGAGUGUGCGGCCGAGCCGCCUCCCUGCAGCGCUGCGCAGUUCUGUAAGAACGCCAACGGCUCCUACACGUGCGAAGGUGGGCCAGGCGGGCGGGUCUGCACUCCGGGGCCUGCCGGGUUUCGUUGCUGCCUUUGUCAACAUUCAUUUAUGGCUUCUUAGCGUCACUUCCAUACAUCCUGCCUGCCCUGAGAACACUUAGUGUGGCAAAGUAAGUCAUAGGUAUUUGCUGCAGGAAAAUCAGAAAAUUCAAGUAAGAUGAAAAGAAAACAGUUAAAAACCCAGGAACUCCCUGGAGAGCGCACCCUGCUCGUGCCCCCCCAGCGCCCCCGCAACGUGCCCUGCGUGACUUUCCGCAGCGCCUGUCGGGUGUUUUCCACUCAGCAGCUUGUUGUGAACGUCUCUGCGUCCUGUGGUUUCUCUGUCACGCUAAUGAUUUUGGAGCCAUUAUUUCAUACUUUUACAACAAUGUCUGUUGCUGGACGUUUACGUCAUAACAAUUUUUCAACUGUUAUAAACCGUGAACACUUGAAGGUAAACUUUUCACAUUCCUUAUGAUUUUCUGUGGAUUAAUUUCCAAAUCGCUCAGUCAAGGGAAUGUGUCUUUUAGAGCCAUAGUGCCCCAGAAAAGUUGUGCUGAUCCCCAGUCCCAGCAGCAGGGAGGAGGCCGCCUCUGCCCCGUGUGUGUGACAGCCCCAGGCAGUUUUCACUGUUGGGAGUGCAGACAGUGGGUCCCUCAGUGAGCCACUAAUACUGGAAGCCAUGCGAGAGGCUCUGGUUAUUCUUAGGAAGCUCCUGGCAGGCUGGCAAACCAAUGGUCACCGAGCUGGAGGUGGGUUUGUUUCUAGAAUCUCUGUAGCACCCAGUUUCUCCCAAAGAGUUCCAAGCCAGGUGGUCUGCACCAUGGCUCUCCGGGAGCACCUGCCGCACAGCAGGUCGCGAGUCUGUGCUUUUGCCGGGAGACAGAGACAGAUCGUUAUAAAGUCACUUGGUGAUGAAUGAGGAGAAAACCCAAAUCCUGGCGGCACCGGUGCCUUCUGCAUGUCGGGGUCUGACGGGCACUGGUGCCUUGUGCAUGUCAGGGUCUGACGCUUGCUCCCUGUUGCAGAGUGUGACUCCAGCUGUGUGGGCUGCACAGGGGAAGGCCCAGGAAACUGUAAAGAGUGUAUCUCUGGCUACGCGAGGGAGCACGGACAGUGUGCAGGUCAGUGACGGGGUCUGUGCUGGACGCUGGUGGACCCUUCCCAAGUGACCAUGAUGUGAAUGGCCCCAGCAGGUACUGCCAGGGAUGGGAAGCAGCUGAGACCCGUCCUGCAGACGUGGCUCCCCGAGGGUCACUGCGCACUCGCCCUGAGGUCCACAUGAGACACAGAAGCAGUGGGGGUGGGGGACAGGCUCUGCAUGGCCGACCCCGGUGUGGAUGGCGCUGCUGCACCAGCCUCUCGCCGGUGGCCUCGUUCCCCAGGUCCACCGCCUCUGCUCUCUCUCCAGCUCCUGGGUGGCGAUUGCCCCGAGGCUUAAGGCCAGGCCUGCCAUGGUUGUGGGCUGCCUGGGUGAGCCUGGGCAUGGAUGGAACCCGGUGGAGAAAGUGGGUUUCCUGGGCAGGCGCGGUGGCUCACGCCUGUAAUCCAGCACUUUGGGAGGCUGAGGCGGGGGGAUCACGAGGUCAGGAGAUCGAGACCAUCCUGGCUAACACGGUGAAACCCCAUCUCUACUAAAAAUACAAAAAAUUAGUCAGGCGUGGUGGCGGGCGCCUGUAGUCCCAGCUACUCGGGGGGCUGAGGCAGCAGAAUGGCGUGAACCCGGGAGGCGGAGCUUGCAGUGAGAGGAGAUUGCGCCACUGCCCUCCAGCCUGGGCGACAGAGCGAGACUCCGCCUCAAAAAAAAAAAAAGGAAAAGAAAGUGGGCUUCCUGGGUGCAUGCUGGCCUUCCGUCCCCACCUGGAGGUCUCUUCUCUGCAUUUUCUACCAGUUGAGGGCCCAACUUGGAGACGUGAAAUUCUUCCCUCUCGAAGCCUUUCCUGACCUUUGCUCCUUUCUGUAACGUGACGUUUGUCAUCGUUGUGCUUUCUUUAUGUGAAUGAAUCUGAAUGAAUGAAUUUCAUAAUCCGCUGCGCGUCUGCUGAGCAAAGUAAUUAUUAAAACGGAGUCUUUUCAUUUUAGAUGUGGACGAGUGCUCACUAGCGGAAAAAGCCUGUGUGAGGAAACACGAAAACUGCUACAAUACUCCAGGGAGCUACGUCUGUGUGUGUCCUGACGGCUUCGAAGAAACGGAAGAUGCCUGUGUUCCGCCGGCAGAGGCUGAAGCCACAGAAGGAGAAAGCCCGACACAGCUGCCCUCCCGCGAAGACCUGUAAUGUGCCGGACUUACCCUUUAAAUUAUUCAGAAGGCUGUCCUGUGGAAAAUGUGGCCCUGAGGAUGCCGUCUCCUGCAGUGGACAGCGGCGGGGAGAAGCUGCCUGCUCUCUAAUGGUUGAUUCUCAUUUGUCCCUUAAACAGCUGCAUUUCUUGGUUGUUCUUAAACAGACUUGUAUAUUUUGAUACAGUUCUUUGUAAUAAAAUUGACCAUUGUAGGUAA